UAGAUCGAAGAUUUAUAGUUUUUAUUCAACACAAAUGCGGAAAUACGACGGAAGCAAACAAAUUAAGGGAGGAAACUCUGAAAUUGCGCAUGCGUUGCUGCAGAGAUGAAGGUACCAACGACAACAAUGUAGUGGAUUUUAACAUUUUGAUUUUUAUUGAAUGAUAACCUGUGUUUACGGCGUGGAGAAAAGUGACGGGUUGUACAGAGAAAAAAAGCAUUUGAACAGAUGAGAUGGGCGAACUUCAGGCCACUAUAGAGAUCUCUGUGGAGCUGAAUCGCUUUUACAAUGUGGACCUGUUCCAGCGUGGACACUAUCAGAUCCAGACAGUUCUGAAGACCCCGCCUAAAUCGCCGGCCCGUGUGGAAAUCAGUGACAAUAAAGUCAACGCGCAGCAAGGUGAGUGCUUAAUGGGUUUCUCUUGUGUCGUGAAGUAGAGUGGGCCGGAAGAGUGCGUCAACUUCACUUACGCGUUCGUUGUGUCCUCAGUAGGCAGACAGAGAGACUUCCAGAUAGAUAGAUAGACAGACAGACAGACAGACAGAAUAGAUAGAC
rnacentral:misc_RNA from 1 species